GGCUUAGGUCAAAAUCUAAAAGCAAAGAAAAAUUGUAAAAGGUUUAUAAAGAAAAAUCUUAAAAAAAUUUUUUUAUAUCUGGUCAGGAGGUCUAAAGUUAAACCAUUAACUUGUGCUAAAUUAUCCACUAUCCUACAGACACAAAAUAAAAGCCCGGUGGCCUUCCUGGAAAGGUUAAGGGAGGCUCUCAUUCAAUAUAUGGCUAUUUCCCCUAACACUCCUGAGGCUGAGAUGAUUCUAAAAGACAAAUUUGUCACUCAAUCGGCCCCAGGUAUUAGGAGAAAACUGUAAAAACUGGCUGUUGGUCCAGAAGGGACCCUGGAGGAGCUCUUAUGAGCUGCCAACUGGGUAUAUUGCAACCAAGAUGAAGAGGAGAAUAAAAAAAAAAAAAAAAAGAAAAAAGAAGAGAAAAGAAAAGGAGGCUUAAAAACAAAACAAAACAAUCUGAGGCCUUAGUUGUGGCCUUAUGUACUAUGUCAGACCGGACUUCCCGAGGUCCCGGCACCAAGUGCCAUUUAUAUGGCCGUUUAGAGCACUAAAAUGAGAACGUCCUCAGAGGGGACAACAGAAAUGAAAACCCCAUAAGCCAGGCCCCUUGCGUGGAGACAACCACCGGAGAUCUGAAUCCGCUCGGGGACCUGUAUCUGUGAGGCUCAGAUAACCGUGUCCCUGCAAGGGACUGACGGGGCCUGGGGCUCUUCACCGAGGCUCCCCUAAACCAACUGUCUGUCAGAAACCCAGAGCCUCGGGUAACUCCAAAUAUAGAACGAAAACUGGUUGAUUUCCUUCUUGACACCUGAGCUACCUUUUCUGUCCUCCUUUCCACUCCAGGCCAACUAUCCAAACGCAGUAUGACGAUUAGAGGCAUCUCCAGAAAACUUCUUAACUAAAGUUUUCUCUCAGCCCCUGGGAUGCAUGUGGGAAAAACUAAUUUUUUUCUCAUUUUUUUCUGGAUGAUACCGGAGAGCCUUACUCCCUUGUAGGAAGGGACAUUAUAACUAAAUUAGAGACUAUAAUACGAGUAACUCCAGAACAAAUAAUUGUAUGAAUUUUGGGAAAUUAUUGGAUAUUGUAGGCUGUAGAUACCAGGGUUCAGGGAAAUGGUUUGCCUGCUAUAUCAAUUAUUAAAGGAGACUCAAUCCCACCUACUCUCCAAAAAACAAACAAACAAACCAGGGUCUGACUCCUAGGCACUGUCUCCAGCCCUUGGAAUGGUUAUAAACAGAGCAGGGCAAUUACUAUUACCAAGCUCACAGGGCUAAAAGAUCAUUAAAACACAGCAUCAGGCCUUUCAUUUAGGGAAGGACAAGAUUUAUCGAAUGGCCCAAAGGAUGUUUACUGGAAAAAAUUUGUCAAGGACAGUUCUGCAAGUAGUGUCAGCCUGUGAAGUAUAUCUUGGAAACAGUCCUCUCAACAAACUCUCUCUCCCAGGCAGUCAAAGAACUGGAGGCUAAUCCCCGGAAGACUGACAAUUAGGUUUCACUCAUAUGCCAAGGUCGAAGGAAUGCCAACAUCUGUUGGUAUGGGUUGAUACUUUUACUAAUUGAGUAAAGGCCUUCUUCUACAAGACAGAAAAGGCACAAGAGGUAAUAAAAGUUCUGCUUUAUAAAAUUAUACCUAGGUAUGGCUUACCUAAAAAUUUGCAAAUUAAUAAUGGUAAAUGGCUGCUUUGACUCUUUCUCUAGUAGAACUCCUGGCUCUUAGAAGAGUUUUACACCUCAAAAUAAAGCAAACCGUCUGCUGAUGCUCAGCAAAACUCUAAAUAACACCUCACAAGCAUUAGAUGUUUAAAAAAAAUGUUUUUUAAAUUAAUCUAGGGCCGAACUCUUGGAAACAGAGCCACCAUUGGUUACGCACUGCUCCUGUUCCUCCAUCACCUGAGUUAUGAGAGAUCCCCUGACAAAGUCAGGGUCUCUCCUAGGUUGUUUGACGGGUUUGGGAACUAAGGACAUUAUCUUAAGACGCCAUCUUGUUGGUCAGUAUAAUCAUUACUUUGUGUUUUUCUCUGUGUGUCUGCUGAUGUUAAUACCACCUCCUGCCUGCCAGCCUUCCUGUAGAAACAUGCUGUGGGCCACUCGACUGACCCGUGGGUGGACUCUAACUGCUGUACCCCUCCCUACACCGCCCCCUGUCAGCUUGAAGAAGCCACAACGGUCAUCGUCCCUGUUCCCUGACAGCAGUUAUAGGCCCUGUUCCAGGGGUGGAUAAACAGGGAAAGGGUUAACAUGAGGCAGGGAGAGAUAAGGGACCGCAGCUGCAGGUGGGAGGCUGAAGAAGCAGACGGGCUUCUCCUCAUAUAGGAUCUUUGACGGGCACCUUCCCCCCCCAUUAUCAAGGGCAUAAGGGGGAGGAUCUAAAUGUGAUGGACAACCUAACCCUAAGACAACAGAUGCGGGCCCUGGGCUCUACCCUAACCACUUUACACCACUGGGUCAGGGAGCGAUUACCUGUGAGUCUGACCACAGAUGCUCACCCCUUUAAACCAGGAGAUGCAAUAUGGAAAAAGGAGUGAAAUGUCCAACCCCUAAAACCCCUCUGGAGGGCCCGUUCACUGUCAUUUUGUCCACCCCUCUUGCAGUAAAGGUGGCCAAAGUGUGUCCCUGGAUUCACUACAGCAGAGUGAAGCCGGCAUCUCGAAACUGGGCAUGCAUUCCUGACCCAUCAAUGCUGUGCAAGCUGACCAUACGGAAGAUUCUGCAACUCCAGAGGCUCCGGGAGACUGCAGCCCUGCUUUAGUCACUCCGGAAGCUGCCUGAUCUAUGCACAGCAGAAGGCUGAGGAACCGACCGUCUGGGGAAGUGGAUUCUGCUGUUCUGGGACCAUGCUUUGUGUUUCUGGGACCACCUUUGUUCCAGACAAACCUAAGAUCUUUACACAUGAGAUGAAGCGAUAUUAUUGGAGCUCGUCCGAGAAUGAAAGGAAACAUUGGGAAGUGCUUUGCAUAGUAUCUGCUACACAGGCAUCCCUUCACAUCCCGGAGCUUCAUGGCCUGUUACAAGGCAGAGUGAGGCGUCAGAGCUGCUGUGGGAACUAAAGUAGCGGUGUGGCCACGGGGCUGUUCGAACAUCUGACGGAUGCUGUUGUGUCUCCACGUGUUUUCAACGCUGUUGUUCUGUCAAUACCACGUCAUACUCAUUCAACAUGUGAUCUACUGGGUAUUUUAUUUCAUGUCGCGAGGUUAUUUUGAGACUUUAAGAAAAGGAAAUUUAGAGUCAACAUAAAGAUACCUUGUCUGAACAUGUCAUUUUUGCUUUUUUACUAGCACCGCAGAAAACCUAUUAACACCAUAGAAAAAGAAAACAAACUUGACCAAAAAGUCCAAGCCGUGCUGGCUUCUGUAUUUGAAGUUUUGUUCUUUAUUUUUCCACUUGACCGGCAUGUCUAUUUUGCCUCCCUUCCUUUUCCCUUCUGCGGGCAAAAGAACACUUAUUUGUCUUUCCAUUUAUAGGGCAUUUCCUUUAUGAAGCCCCUAUUGACGCACCUGCCACCAAGUAAACUUGAUCACUCCCUGUUUUUGUGGCCCCGCUGCUCCCUGAAAGCUUCUACCGCGGUUAACAAUGUCUUCCCUGACAAAACGAAAAUCAGACAAACUAAACCCAAGAAGUGUCUUACUCCAGUCACAAUCCCAUGGAAGCAUACUUUUUCUGAGUAACCUAGAUUGGUCUUGGCAGGUCAUGGAAGAUACUUAAUGGAAAAGUGGGUCCACAAAGAGCACUUCGUGAUUUGGUAUCAUUACUUGUGCUUAAAAUGCUAUUGGCUCACUCACUGCCUUCUACAUCCUACUCAGCCUUUUUCAUUUGCCUUAAAAGCCAUCUUUUCCGAGAAACUCUCCUUGAUCACUCCCAUCUGUAUGAAUUGCAUCUUCCUUGCAUGUAAUGGUGUUUGCAUUUCUAUUAAAUAUAUCGCCUUUA